CCAAGGAGUCUAACAUGUGCGCGAGUCACUCGGUCUUGAAUAGGCCAGAGAGGCGCAAUGAAAGUAAAGUUGAUUGAGUUACGAUCCUCACUUGUCUUUGCGGACGGUGGGGCGCAGUAACAGCCCGCCAAUUUCGCUUUUUGACGAUAUGGCGGAGUUAUAGCGUACACGUUGGUACCCGAAAGAUGGUGAACUAUGCCUGGGCAAGACGAAGCCAGAGGAAACUCUGGUGGAGGUCUGUAGCGAUUCUGACGUGCAAAUCGAUCGUCCGACCUGGGUAUAGGGGCGAAAGACUAAUCGAACCAUC
rnacentral:rRNA from 1 species